rnacentral:rRNA from 1 species
CACGUAGGGUGCGAGCGUUGUCCGGAAUUAUUGGGCGUAAAGAGCUCGUAGGCGGUGUGUCGCGUCGGCCGUGAAAACCUGCAGCUUAACUGUGGGCGUGCGGUCGAUACGGGCAUCACUGGAGUUCGGCAGGGGAGACUGGAAUUCCUGGUGUAGCGGUGAAAUGCGCAGAUAUCAGGAGGAACACCGGUGGCGAAGGCGGGUCUCUGGGCCGACACUGACGCUGAGGAGCGAAAGCGUGGGGAGCGAACAGG